rfam:Habropoda laboriosa contig20015, whole genome shotgun sequence.
AAAACGGCUCUUUUAAGAGCCACAAAAUGAAAACGGAGGAAUGUCU